GGCGGACGGGUGAGUAAUGCCUAGGAAUCUGCCUGGUAGUGGGGAUAACGUUCGGAAACGGACGCUAAUACCGCAUACGUCCUACGGGAGAAAGCAGGGGACCCUUCGGGCCCUUGCGCUAUCAGAUGAGCCUAGGUCGGAUUAGCUAGUUGGUGGGGUAAUGGCUCACCAAGGCGACGAUCCGUAACUGGUCUGAGAGGAUGAUCAGUCACACUGGAACUGAGACACGGUCCAGACUCCUACGGGAGGCAGCAGUGGGGAAUAUUGGACAAUGGGCGAAAGCCUGAUCCAGCCAUGCCGCGUGUGUGAAGAAGGUCUUCGGAUUGUAAAGCACUUUAAGUUGGGAGGAAGGGCAGUUGCCUAAUACGUAACUGUUUUGACGUUACCGACAGAAUAAGCACCGGCUAACUCUGUGCCAGCAGCCGCGGUAAUACAGAGGGUGCAAGCGUUAAUCGGAAUUACUGGGCGUAAAGCGCGCGUAGGUGGUUUGUUAAGUUGGAUGUGAAAUCCCCGGGCUCAACCUGGGAACUGCUUUCAAAACUGACUGACUAGAGUAUGGUAGAGGGUGGUGGAAUUUCCUGUGUAGCGGUGAAAUGCGUAGAUAUAGGAAGGAACACCAGUGGCGAAGGCGACCACCUGGACUGAUACUGACACUGAGGUGCGAAAGCGUGGGGAGCAAAC
rnacentral:rRNA from 1 species